GAUCAUGGCUCAGGAUGAACGCUAGCGGCAGGCUUAACACAUGCAAGUCGAGGGGCAGCGCGGGGCGGCAACGUCCUGGCGGCGACCGGCGGAAGGGUGCGUAACGCGUGAGCGACAUGCCCGUUGCCCGGGGACAACCGGUGGAAACGCCGACUAAUCCCCGAUGGGACGGAGGCCCUCAUGGGUCUCUGUUGAAAGUUACGGCGGCGACGGAUUGGCUCGCGUCCGAUUAGCUAGUUGGCGGGGUAACGGCCACCG
rnacentral:rRNA from 1 species